CUCGCGUGCGAGAUGACAAAACUUCGCCAUUUAGCGCCGUCUUUAAUUAAAUCGUACAGACUACAACUACUACUAUAUACUACAGAUGUAGCCCUACACACCGACGGUCGUCGCAAAGGCGAAAUUACGUAAUCACAUACGAGAAUCCAUAAUAAUCUAUAGUGCAGUAAUACGGACAAAGAGAGUUAUUAUUGCGAAGGACCGACGAAAGCCCACGUCACAAACACAAAACGUGCGUAUCGCGAUAAUAACAUAUUAGUGAUAUUACCUUCCUACCUAUAUUAUUACGUUCGUUUUGUGUUAAUGUGUUAUACCGCGUUUAGGGUCGGCACGUUCGUGACUUUUUUCUCCCACUAGUCGUGCGCCAUUGCAAACCGAAUUAUAAAUUCGUUCGGUACUUAUAUAAUAUUGUAUACCCACAGAAUCUGCAGAUGCACUCAAUGUAUUAUACAUUUCAUAUUUAUAAAAAUUGAGCCAAAAAUGUAAAACAAUUCGUCAAUUGAGGACGGCUGCGCCGAUUUGGCUCAAUUUUUUUUAACCGUUCGCAAUUGCCAGGAGAAGGUUUUUGCGAAAAAAAAUGUCGGAAAAACGCUUUUGAAAUCAAAGGCCAAGUUUAACACAAAGUGGGCUCAUUGAGGGCAACCUAACCGAUAUGCCAAACGCACCACAUACAUUUUUACAGAUUUACUUUACAGGCGGCGAGGACUAGGGAAAAAAAUGAAAAUUUGGUUAUUUUGUUAUUUUUAUAGGCCGUCGUCGUUCACAGUACUCCAUUUCUCUUUCAAUCACAUGCCAGUAUACCACAUCCCCACAAGCUCACAAUAAUUUUGGACUUUUAAGUUAUUUUACAAAAAUAUUCAUUCGAAAUAAUUUAUAUGGCAAGACAACGUUUACCGCUGGUAGAUAGCCUACCUGAUAAUAUACUGCUCGCAUUAUCACAAUCAAGUCUCUUUAGUAGAGAUGACAUUUUUAACGGUCCACAAAGUGCACGGAAUCAGCUAGUAUUAUAUAGUAUGUAUAUAUUCAGUGAUUGACAUAGAACGAUAAACGCACAUUAUGUAAAACUUCAAAACGCAUAUUAUUAUUAUGAUGAAAUUCUCGUCUCAGAAACUCCUUUUUUUUCAAGUUGGUGUUCUAAAUGCAAGCGGUCUGUUUCUAAAAUGUUAAACAUUUUUUAAUACGUUAGUUGAAAACAUUGCUUACUGGACUUACUUCGUACUGUUUACCCACAUGUUUAAUACAUUUAACUCAUUAGGAUCAACCACUGCAGACUAGUUAGUGUUAGGUUAGGUAAGACAUUGUGACAAAAAUGUUAUUAUUUCACAAAUCAAAUUACAAAUCAUAAAAAUAUAAAUACGAUAAACAUUAGCUAAAGUGUACUAAGUAUAUACAACAGACUAAAUUUAUUGAUUAACAAUUAUAUUUCUAUAGCUGACGAUAUUGGGCUUUGACUGAGACAUACAUGUCUCAGUCUUAAAAAAAAUUGUAUUUUUGAAGCUCUUUUUUGUACAGAUAAUUAAUAAGGCAAUGCAAUUAGAUGUCUAUAUACAUAGUCUUUGAUAAUAAUUCAAGUAUUUGAGAUUAGAAGACAAAAAGAAAAUUAAUACAUAACACUAAUAAAGCGCUGAAUAUUAUAUCAAAUCGUUUUUUGUUAAAUUAACAGACAUACGAUUCGUAUAAGCGUAAAAGAUAUUGAUAAAAAGUAAAAAUCCAUAUGAAUUACAUACCACGUGAGUAAGCUUAUGUAAUAAAAUAAUUGAAUUACCUAUAGAUAAACAAUAAUCUUAUAUUUAUAUAAAGUGUACACGCACAGUUUCAGAGGCACCAAAAAUGUAAAAACGAUUUGACAUUAAGAUUUGAAUCACCAAAUGUUACAACUUAAAGAUGUUGAUUUACCAUUAUUAAACAAUUUGCAAAUAUUUCGUCGAUGUAGAGCUGAGUACUGCCAAGCAGUUUGUGGUGGACAUUUCAUUUCAAGGGGAAUGAUGACGUUAUCAUUUUCUGGACUACACAAUUCUAAAUCACUUAUUAAUCUCUUUGAUAUACAAAGUAGUAAGUAUAUGGUUAGUACAAUAUAUUAUUUAAUAAAAACUAUAGCAUUUAUACGAUUUUAGAAUAUAACGUAUGUCUAAUUGAUAUAUAAAAAUCAUAUAUUUUUAAAUUAUUUAAACAGAAAAGUCAAAGUAGAUUGUCAACAAACAAAUUGGUUAAUACAAUAAAAUUGUAUACAUAUAUGAAUUCUUAUUCAGAUAAAUAUACGAAAUAGAAAUAGUACAUAUUCAAAUAAAUUGUUGAAAAGAAAUGUCGAAUUAAUAAUAAAUUGUAUUAAAAUAAACUCAGCAUUAUCAAAAACAGUCUAGUCCGCUACAAUCACCAACUAACGACGACGGGCAAAAUA